GGCGACGUGGGCGGUUCGCUGCCCGCGACGUUGUGAGAAGUCCACUGAAACCUUAUCAUUUAGAGGAAGGAGAAGUCGUAACAAGGUUUCCGUAGGUGAACCUGCGGAAGGAUCAUUG
rnacentral:rRNA from 1 species